UUAGGGGUUAGGGUGAACAUGGAUUCCAGUUUGCUCCCAGUCUCUUCAAUGCUGUGACUGGAUGAGACUCUUCUACACUACUGCAGAACAGAUAUGUGGUUCUAACAGGGCAUGAAGACUCCCCUCUAAUCUGGGCUUUCCUGUUGUGGAAAGGAUUCUAGGAAAGGAUGCCAACAGGCCAGAUGUCAUCUUUUUUGGUGGGCUGUACACAUCAGACUGGACUUGCCUUAAAUGAGAUUCAGACAAUCCUGUUUGCCAAAUGCCCAACAAGAAAAGAGCAGUUAUACAGAACUUGUGGUAGAAGGAGGGAAACUGAGGAUCUUAGAAAUCUCUGUCUGAUGACUAACUGCUACCAGUCAGAGUAUGGAGAGUUGGACACUUCACCACUCAGGUCAACAGAAGUCUGAAAAUAACAGCAAGAAAGAAAUGAAAAAGAAUCUCCCACAGAGAAAUGUUUAUUUAAAGCGAGGUGCAGUGGCUCAUGCCUGUAAUCCCAUCACUUUGGAAGGCUGAGGUGGGCGGAUCAUGAGGUCAAGAGAUUGAGACCAUCCUGGCGGACAUGGUGAAACCUCAUCUCUACUAAAAAUACAAAAAUUAGCUGGCGUGGUGGCGCACACCUCUAGUCCCAACUACUCAGGAGACUGAGGCAGGCGAAUUGUUUGAACCUAGGAGGCAGAGGUUGCCGUGAGC
rnacentral:lncRNA from 1 species